rnacentral:rRNA from 1 species
UACGAAGGGUGCAAGCGUUACUCGGAAUUACUGGGCGUAAAGCGUGCGUAGGUGGUGAGUUAAGUCUGUCGUGAAAGCCCCGGGCUCAACCUGGGAAUGGCGAUGGAUACUGGCUCGCUAGAGUGCGGUAGAGGAGAGUGGAAUUCCCAGUGUAGCAGUGAAAUGCGUAGAUAUCUGGAGGAACACCGGUGGCGAGGGCGGCAUCCUGGACCAACACUGACGCUGAGGAGCGAAAGCCAGGGGAGCAAACGGG